UACAGAGGUUUCCAGCGUGGUUCGGAUUCAUUGGGCGUAAAGGGUGCGUAGGCGGCGCGGUAAGUCGGGUGUGAAAUCUCGGAGCUUAACUCCGAAACUGCAUUCGAUACUGCCGUGCUUGAGGACUGGAGAGGAGACUGGAAUUUACGGUGUAGCGGUGAAAUGCGUAGAUAUCAUGAGGAAUACCAGAGGCGAAGGCGGCUACCUGGACAAUUGCUGACGCUCAGGCACGAAAGCGUGGGGAGCAAAAGGG
rnacentral:rRNA from 1 species